GUAGCUGACUCCUGUCAGUUGGGGAAUGGCUAGGCUCGGGCGCCGAUGAAGGUCGUGCCAAGCUGCGAUAAGCGGUGGGUAGGCGCAAGGAACCUGUGAUCCACCGAUCACCGAAUCGGAACUCCGGUCCCGCAAGGGACAUUCCGCAAGGAAGGGGAACCCCCCGAAGUAAAGCAUUCUAGUAGGGGGAGGACAAGAAAUCAACCGAGAUGCCGCUAGUAAAGGCGAUCGAACGCGGCCAAGGACAAACCGAAUCCCUGCCCGGUGAGGGCAGGGAGAUGUGGAGUAGUGGACCUUCGUACUCGCUGGCUUUCUAAGCUGAACGUGCCUGGAACGACGGACCCAAGAGGGUGAAAGUCCCGUAGGCGAACGAAAGAGGCGAGAUUGGAGGUAUCCCGAGUACCGUGCGUUGGAUAUCGCGCGGGAAGCCGGGUGGUACAGUCAUCCGAUCCUAAAUACGUCCCGAGACCGAUAGUGCAAUAGUAGCGCGAGCGAAAGCUGAAAAGUACCUCGGAAGGGAGGUGAAAAGAGCCUGAAACCAACUGACGUUAAGCCGCAUGUGGUCCCCAAGGAACGAAGCGGUCGCAAGACCGUGGACACAGGAUCCAUGCGUCCGUUUUGAAUAACGGGCCAGGGAGUUUCGAUAUAUGGCGAGGCUAAGGCCCGCACGGCCGCAGCCGAAGGGAAACCGACAGUCCGCAACCUCGCAAGAGGCCAGGGACGGGGUGUGCUCGCCCGAAGUCAUAUGUGGAAGACCCGAAGCCAAUCGAUCUAAGCGUGGGUAGGUUGAAGCCUGCCGAAAGGUAGGUGGAGGACCGAACCGGUGUUGACGUGCAAAUCACUCGGAUGACCUGUGCUUAGGGGUGAAAGGCCAAUCUAGACUGGGGAUGGCUGGUUCCUCCUGAAACUACUCGCAGGUAGGUCUCGGCCGAGCAAGCACGGUAUGUAGAGCACCGAUUACGGGAAGCGGGACCGAAAGGUCUCGGCCUGUUGUCGAACUCCGAAGUUCCGUGCAGCGAAGACGCCGGGAGUGAGCGCGGCAGGGGUAAGCCCGCCGUGCGAAAGGGAAUGCAACCCAGCCUCACAUUAAGGGCCCAAAGUGCCGGUUAAGUGUUAUGCAAAGGGCGUCCGUGUUCGAAGACAACUGGGAGGUGGGCUCAGAAGCAGCCAUCCUUCAAAGAGUGCGUAACAGCUCACCAGUCGAGGGCAUGGGCACCGAAAAUGGACGGGGCUAAACCGGCCCCCGAUAUGUGGGCGCGCCGCCAACCGGCGGCGAUCGUGUAAGGAGGCGUGGUGCUCGGGUAGAAGUAGGGGCGUGAGUUCCUAUGGACCGGGUUCCAUCGAAAAUCCUGGGAGGAGUAGCAGCAAAGACGGGUGAGAAUCCCGUCCGCCGAAGGGGCCAGGGUUCCACGGCAACGAUCAUCCGCCGUGGGUUAGUCGAGCCUAAGCGAGUCCUUAAUCGGCACUCGCGAACGGAAAUACAGUUAAUAUUCUGUAACCCCAAGGUCAAAGCGUCUUCGAGGAAGCCGGCCGCUAGGGAAGGUGGGCAUAUGCCAGCCUAUCGUUCCCCCGUCGCCCCGGGGAGUACCGUUAUGGUGAGAACCGGGGACAGGGGGAUCGGGACUCCGCGAGGAGUCUCUCCCCAAUGCGGGCGGCCCGUGAAAAGUCGAGGACGGCAUCUUGGGCUCGUACCGAGAACUGACACAGGUGCCCCUGGGUGAGAAGCCCAAGGCGUGUCGGCGAGAAUUCGAGCGAGGGAAUUCGGCAAAUUAGCCCCGUAACUUCGGGAUAAGGGGUGCCAGACCUGUAGAGGUCUGGUCGCAGUGACCAGGGAGCUCCGACUGUUUAAUAAAAACAUAGGUGGCCGCGAGACUGAAAAGUUGUGUAUGGCCGCUGAAUCCUGCCCAGUGUCGGCAUCUGAAAGCCCGGUACAACGGGACGAAGGACCGAUAAACGGCGGGGGUAACUAUGACCCUCUUAAGGUAGCGUAAUACCUUGUCGCUUAAUUGGCGACUUGCAUGAAGGACCAACGAGAGCUCUACUGUCCCCGCUCGGAAGCCGGCGAAACUGACUCAUUGGCGAGCAGUCCAAUGUCUUCCGUCUGAAAGCGAAGACCCCGUGGAGCUUUACUGCAGCCUGCGGUUGUGAUACUAGUCCGAAUGUGUAGCGUAGGUGGGACUCGUUACCAGGGCGGAGCGCAAGCUCCGUUCCGAGAGGCCGAUGAAACACCACCCUUUCGGGCUGGUAUCGCUCACCCUGUAAAGGGGACACCCGUAGGUAGGCAGUUUGGGUGGGGCGCCACGCCCUCCAAAAAGUAACAAGGGCCCCCAAAGGUCGGCUCAGGUGGGUCAGAAAUCCACCGUAGAGUGCAAGGGCAAAAGCCGGCUUGACGGGAAUCUGCCUAACGAGGAUUCCCGAUGCGAAAGCAGGGCCUAGCGAACCACUGUGCCUCCCCUGUAGGGGCCAGUGAUAAGAGAAAAGUUACCCCGGGGAUAACUGAGUUGUCUCCAGCAAGAGUCCCUAUCGACCUGGAGGCUUGCUACUUCGAUGUCGGUUCUGCCUAUCCUGGUGGUGCAGCAGCUACCAAGGGUGGGGUUGUUCGCCCAUUAAAAGGGAUCGUGAGCUGGGUUUACACCGUCGUGAGACAGGUGUGUUGCUUUUUGGCGGAAGUGCAAGGGUCUCUGACGAGAAGGUUCCCACAGUACGAGAGGAACGGGGAAUCGGCGCCUCUAGUCCAUCAGUUGUCCGGCAGGGCAUCGCUGAGCAGCCACGCGCUCCGGGAUAAGGGCUGAAAGCAUCUAAGCCCGAAACCCCCUCGAAAAAGAGAGACCUCUAAGGACAUUCGUAGAAGACGAGUUCGAUAGAGAUGGGGUGUACGCAGAAAGCCUUCGGGCGAUCUGUUCAGCCCGCAUCCACUAACGUCCGCAGCUACGUU
rnacentral:rRNA from 1 species